GGUCGGAGGCGCGGGGCGGGGGGCAUGGUUUCUUUUGGAGCUACCUUUUUCGCUUUCUACCCCCGGGCAGAAUGGCUGCGGCGGUGACAGGUAAGGCCGCUUUCCUUCCGCAGGCUGUGCGGAAACGCGCUGGGUAUCCUGGAGAUGCCUUCUGGUGCCUUUGAAGGCACAGCCGUAGCUGCUUGAAGGUAGAUUUUGCUACAGGCUUUAUUGUAAUCGCUUCAUCGUCCUCUCCUGCGCAGGUCUGUAGGGGACAGGAGAGAGAUACAAGCGCCAGGUAAUUCUUAAAGGCUCACGAAUGCGGUAGGGAAACUGGAAGCCUGGAGAAGGAUGUUGGCUUGGCUUCUCCGAGCGUGCUGAUGACCGGUAGCCUACGGAAGGCAUCUGUGCUUUUCGCUGAGAUAAGAACCCAAAUGUUCUGUCGCUGCAGUCUCUGCUCGGGCUGUGAUGCUGAAGUCUUCCUGGAUUUUUAUGAACGUGACAACAUCAAAUGCUGAAAUCAAAGGAGAAAAGCCCUCAAAACUCUGCUCUGAAAUCUCUUUGCAUUUGUAGACUUCUGAGGAAUUGGAAGGUCUUCAGAGGAGGACAUAAAGACAAAGCAAACUAAGCAGAAAAUGCUGCAAAUGUGUGUUUCAUAUAGCCCUGGAACAGUGAGUUUGUUAACGCUCAGGCCAUCGUUGUCCUUGGUGGUGAGGAGGCGGAAGACUGGGGAGUUGGUUGAAGUAGAACCAUAACGAGUUUCUAAAGAAAACAAAUUUACUUUCUUUAAUAUAGUGAGCUGAAAAUCUCCACUAGGGAGCUGCUGCUUCAUAGCAUGUAUGAUAUAUUGGGUGGAAAACAAGUCUCUUGUCUUGGAAUACCCAUCUCUUGUGUUCUUAAUCCACUGUGAAAGUGGAGGUGGGAUGCUAGGAACAGGAAACACAGUGGUGAUAAUGGUUGGCUAUCCAAAAGGAAUAGAGAUAUUGGAGCCGGUACGAAGAGGGAUUCCAGUAAAAAUGACUAUUGUUGUUGGCACGCGACAUGUGCAGGAAUAUAUUAGUGGUCAGUCGGUUGUGUUUGUAGCCAUCGCCUUUAUCACCAUGAUGAUUAUAUCGCUUGCUUGGCUCAUAUUUUACUACAUACAACGUUUCCUGUAUACAGGAUCACAGUUUGGAAACCAGGGGCAUAGGAAAGAAACCAAGAAAGCAAUCAGCCAGCUUCAGCUGCAUACUGUGAAACGUGGAGAAAAGGGUUUAGAUGUUGAUGUGGAAAACUGUGCUGUGUGCAUUGAGAACUAUAAACUGAAAGACACUGUCCGAAUUCUGCCAUGCAAGCACAUCUUUCAUAGAACGUGCAUUGAUCCUUGGCUUUUGGACCACCGAACUUGUCCAAUGUGUAAACUAGACGUUAUCAAAGCUUUGGGAUACUGGCACCAGAAAAGAGAGAUGAAGACACAUGCGGGGGACCCUGAAGAUGUACUUGAAGUUCCAAUACCUGAAUCAAUAAGUGGCAGUGUUUCAGUUGGAAGCCUGAGUAUUGCUUUACAAGAUGAUGACAGAAAUGAAGUAAGCGAAUUGUCAGCUUCCUCCACUAAUGAAUCUGUAUUGCAGUGUACCAGUUUAAAAGAGGAUGCAGGUGAAACCACAGCGUUACUUGAUGUGGAUGUCAGUAAUAAUCGUCAUGGAGAACAUCUAUCUAAUGGAAAUUCCCAUUGAACUGCUUCAUGGAGAAGAUACCGUGAAUAGACUGUUGAAGAACUAUUAUUUUUUAUUUAAUUAGUAUGGACUUUUGUCUAGUUAAUGGAAAAAAUAACAAUGUAAAUUAUUUUACCUUUCAAACUUUUCUAGCUGGUGUUCCAAAAGGGCUAAUAACUAAGAAUUUUGUACACAGGAGGAUUUUAUAGAAUCUCCUCUGGAUGUCUCAUCCUAAAAAAAGAUGCAAUAACCCUUUUUCUGUAAGCGUUGUUACAAUGUCAUUGUGUUCCAGAGGGCUGUAACAAAGAUGAAGACUAGGCAGUGAAAACAAUGUAGAAUGUCUAACAGAUAAAUAUUUUGGAUGCACUAUUUUACAUUCAGUAUGUACACAUGAAGAACACUUACAAGGCUACAACUAUUAAAAUGUUCUGAAAGUUCUGAUCUGUUGUAAUUGGAGAUGGAUAUUGUUAGAAAAGACAUAAUCUCACCUUGAAGGAAUCACAUAACUUCAUGGAUAUGUUGCAUAUCCUGGUUUGUGAUGAAAAAAUUGCCAGUUGCAACUUUCCUUACAUGUAACAGAUAUUAAUUUGAUCUUGUGAAGUGUUCUACUCGGAGUGGAUGCUGAGAGAAAAGGAGAUUUUCUCUAUCUUGCUAGCUUUUAUACUGAAUUUGGCAGUAAUAGGUUGUGCUAGGUGGUCUUCACGUGCUGAGCAUGUAGACUUAUUUAGGUAUAUGCACACUGGUUACCUCUUUCAAUCUUAAACUCAGUAGAACAGAGGUAAAGGGCUAAUUAUGGCUAAAAUAUAUUUAUUAGUCUAUUUAUAAGAAUUUACUUAAUUCCUUCUUACUCCUGCUCCCAUCCUGUCCCACUUCGUUAUGUACAAAUUGAAACUGUUUCUUAGUAUCUACAAAGUUUGGUUUUGUUUUUUCUUUUCCUUUGCAUAGAGAUGCUGGAAUUCUUCUCUUGGGUAUUCCACAUUAGGAGUUUUGGCUGGGUUCGCCAUUAGCUUUUAUUCCUUUCUUUUAGAUUAGCAGUAUUGUGCCUUAUAGUAAAACACUUAAGAAACCUGAAGCAUCUGAGAGUAAAUAUAAACCCUGGCAUCUCCCAUUAUGACCUCUUAUUCAAAUAUUUAUAUACUGUAAGUGGUAUAAGGAAUUGCUAAACUGUUUUGUAAAGAAAUCUGUAUAUUUAAAACACUACUUAAGAGUGUUAAGUGAAUUGUUUAGGAUUUUAGCAUUGUCAUGUUAUAAUAUGCUACGUUCCUCAAUUUUCUUUUGUAAAGCUGUUACUACAGGUUGCUUAAAACAGUGUCUUUUACUAGACAUUUGUUGUUUUAGAGUGCAUUUUGUUUUUAAAAUGUAUAUUUGGAAUGUUUUUAAGAAAUAUGCAAUUCUUUUUCUAACUUAUAUUGAGCUUCAAUAGAAGCAAUAACUUUUCUUAAUUUUAGAAUGAAUGUUCCAGAAAUGACAGAGGUUUCAGCUGGGGAAAUAUAAUCUGAACUUCUACUUUGCAGAGCAGAUGUUUCACCCUAAAUUUCCUUCAGAAUAUUCCUAUUAAUGCUUACUUUAAAAAAAAAAAAACACAAAUAAAUCUGCCUCUUCCCUGUAGGAGUGUAACUUUGAGGUUUACUGGAAAAUUGUCAGGUUGUAGUUCUGAUGUCACCAGCAGGUGCAAGUUUUUGUGAUGCCUUUAUCUUACAAGAAGCACAUGAGAAUGGAGUAUGACUGACCAACCAUCUCCAAAACUGAACAAAUGAAAAAACCAACCCACCACUAAACCAAACAGUGUAGAGGGACAUUUAUGUCUCCAAAAGAAGCUUAUAAACAUUUCCAGAACUGCCUUUUUAACUAUCUCUUCAAUAUUAAAAUCUAAGUCUUCUCCCUCUUCCUUAACACAAAACUGAACAUUGAUGUAGUAAAUGUUGAGAGGGUUUAAACUCUAGCUCAAGGAGGAACCAAAAGGCGUUAUCAAGAGAAGUCUUGUCAGUCUGUGGAUUGUGUAUUGCUGAUACCUGCAGCGCAAUAUUCAUGCUGGAGGGGAGAAAUGUGGUAAGUACUUCAGCUUCUACGUAAUCUCUGUAAAACCAGAAGCUUUUCUCCUAGGAGUCAAAGCUGAGAUCUGGCAGAAAGCUGGAAGAAAAGCUGAAGAACCUGCAAAUUGAAAAGUGUGCUUGUAGAAUUUGAAGUGUAAGUAAUAGAUACCUGAGUAGGAAGAUUCCUGGAGUGUGUUUCUAAUGCUGGCGCUGUACCGGUUUCAUUUCAACCUUUCACAAGCACGUACUUACAGUUGUUUCAGCCAAACUGGUUUGCGCAUAGUUUGUCUUUGAUAUAGUCGGGCCUCGUAAGGCCAGCUGUGCUGCUGAGGAAUGAUGACAAUAAAAGGCCGAAUUGCAGUGCCUCCAGCAAGCAGUUUGCUCUCCUGGGAAGCACGAUGACAAAAAUCUCCUGAAGCGAAUCAUUAGUCUGACCUCAGUCAAAAAGCUGACAUGCAUUAACAAGAAGUGGUGGGUUAAGAAGUACAGGACAGGAAAGAGACAAUGUAUGGAGCUGAAAACAGCAGCAAGUGAUAUGUGAAGAUUUGGGAAUUGGAAUUGUAGAUAAAACAUGCACAAAUCAAGCUGAAGGCUUUUUUGUUUUUGUUCAGUAUGGGUCCUGAUCUCUCUCCUCAGAUAUCCUGCUGUAUUGCAAAACUUGAUUUGAGAAAGUUUUAAAAGUAGAAUGUCUCUAUAAUUGCAUGUUUUUGUGUGAAGAAUGCAUUGCCUGGAAAAUGUCCACUAUACUUCCAUUGGACCUGAAGCUCCUUCUCACCAUCUGAAACAUGGUAAUUGAUACUGCAUUUUUAAGUGAGCAUAUCCUACAUAAUUCAGAAGAGCAAAAUAAUUUGAGUUUCCAUCAUUUUGUUAGUCUGAAGCUUAUAUCCAAAACUUUGAAGCCAGUUACUUCUACUGUAAACAUAACUGCAGAGAACAGUUUGAACUUGCUAGUGUGUCAACAACUAUUCACAAUCGACUGUCUUUUAUGGUAACCUUGUACUAACUUGGUUGCACUGUUUGGAUUAAGCACUGGGCUGUCUUUUUCCAUUGUGUAUGUACAACUGUAAGAAUGUCAAGUUAUGCAUUGUUGUUGUAACUUAAUGGCUAAAAGCUCAAAUUCCAUAAUAAAUUAUG